CCUACGGGAGGCAGCAGUGGGGAAUAUUGCACAAUGGGCGAAAGCCUGAUGCAGCAACGCCGCGUGAGCGAUGAAGGCCUUCGCCUCGUAAAGCUCUGUCCUCAAGGAAGAUAAUGACGGUACUUGAGGAGGAAGCCCCGGCUAACUACGUGGGAGCAGCCGCGGUAAU
rnacentral:rRNA from 1 species